rnacentral:rRNA from 1 species
UACGUAGGCAGCGAGCGUUGUUCGGAGUUACUGGGCGUAAAGCGUGCGUAGGCGGUUUUGUAAGUUUGGUGUGAAAUCUCCCGGCUCAACUGGGAGGGUGCGCCGAAAACUGCAAGGCUGGAGUGUGGGAGAGGUAGGCGGAAUUCCUGGUGUAGCGGUGAAAUGUGCAGAUAUCAGGAGGAACACCGGUGGCGAAGGCGGGUCUCUGGGCCGAUACUGACGCUGAGGAGCGAAAGCAUGGGGAGCGAACAGG